rnacentral:rRNA from 1 species
GUGAACCUGCGGAAGGAUCAUUACCGAGUGUAGGGUUCCUAGCGAGCCCAACCUCCCACCCGUGUUUACUGUACCUUAGUUGCUUCGGCGGGCCCGCCAUUCAUGGCCGCCGGGGGCUCUCAGCCCCGGGCCCGCGCCCGCCGGAGACACCACGAACUCUGUCUGAUCUAGUGAAGUCUGAGUUGAUUGUAUCGCAAUCAGUUAAAACUUUCAACAAUGGAUCUCUUGGUUCCGGCAUCGAUGAAGAACGCAGCGAAAUGCGAUAACUAGUGUGAAUUGCAGAAUUCCGUGAAUCAUCGAGUCUUUGAACGCACAUUGCGCCCCCUGGUAUUCCGGGGGGCAUGCCUGUCCGAGCGUCAUUGCUGCCCAUCAAGCACGGCUUGUGUGUUGGGUCGUCGUCCCCUCUCCGGGGGGGACGGGCCCCAAAGGCAGCGGCGGCACCGCGUCCGAUCCUCGAGCGUAUGGGGCUUUGUCACCCGCUCUGUAGGCCCGGCCGGCGCUUGCCGAACGCAAAUCAAUCUU